AUUGAACGCUGGCGGCAGGCCUAACACAUGCAAGUCGAGCGGAUGAAGGGAGCUUGCUCCUGGAUUCAGCGGCGGACGGGUGUGUAAUGCCUAUGAAUCUGCCUGGUAGUGGGGGAUAACGUCCGGAAACGGGCGCUAAUACUGCAUACGUCCUGAGGGAGAAAGUGGGGGAUCUUCGGACCUCACGCUAUCAUAUGAGCCUAGGUCGGAUUAGCUAGUUGGUGGGGUAAAGGCCUACCAAGGCGACGAUCCGUAACUGGUCUGAGAGGAUGAUCAGUCACACUGGAACUGAGACACGGUCCAGACUCCUACGAGAGGCAGCAGUGGGGAAUAUUGGACAAUGGGCGAAAGCCUGAUACAGCCAUGCCGAGUGUGUGAAGAAGGUCUUCGGAUUGUAAAGCACUUUAAGGUGGGAGGAAGGGCAGUAAGUUAAUACCUUGCUGUUUUGACGUUACCAACAGAAUAAGCACCGGCUAACUUCGUG
rnacentral:rRNA from 1 species